GGAUGGGUGGCAGAGUUGGUUUAAUGCGCCGGAUUGCUAAUCCGGUAUACAUGUUAAUUCGUGUAUCGUGAGUCCGAAUCUCACCCCAUCCG
rnacentral:tRNA from 4 species